UGAAGCUGCGAACGGCUCAUUACAACAGUUAUAGUCGAUUGGACGACGCUAAUUACAUGGAUAACCGUGGUAAUUCUAGAGCUAAUACAUGCACCGAUGUUCGACCGUAAGGAAGAGCAGUGUCUAAUUGGAUAACGAACCAUUACGCUUUGCGUCUCUUUUGGUGAGUCAUGAUGAUUUAACAAAUCGAACGGCUUCGGCUGUCGAUGUGUCCUUUGAGUUUCUGGCCUAUCAGCUUUCGACGGUAGGGUAUUGGCCUACAGUGGCUACGACGGGUAACGGAGAAUUAGGGUUCGAUUCCGGAGAGGGAGCCUGAGAGACGGCUACCACAUCUAAGGAUAGCAGCAGGCGCGCAAAUUACCCAAUCCUGACACAGGGAGGUAGUGACAAGAAAUAACAACACAGGGCAAUUGCUUUGUGAUUGGAAUGAGUGCAGUUCAAAAGUCUGCGCAAGUACCAAUUGGAGGGCAAGCCUGGUGCCAGCAGCCGCGGUAAUUCCAGCUCCAAUAGCGUAUAUUAAAGUUGUUGCAGUUAAAAAGCUCGUAGUUGGAUUAUUUGCACUAUGUGACGUUGCAGACCUUCGGGCCGGGCGUCUUACGUGUGCAUUUGCCUUUACCUUUCGGGGUUUUGGGCCUUUUACUUUGAGAAAAUUAGAGUGUUCCAAGCAGGUCAAUCCUUGAAUAUUGCAGCAUGGAAUAAUAAUCUAGACUCCUAAUCAGCUUAUUGGUGCGAGAUUAGGAGUAAUUUUUAACAGGAACCGUUGGGGGCAUUCGAAUUUGACUGUCAGAGGUGAAAUUCUUAGAUUAGUUUGAAGGGCAAGCAACUGCGAAAGCAUUUUGUCAAACAUGUUUUCCAUAAAUCCAGAAACGAAAGUUUACGGGAUCGAAAACCAAUCAGAUACCCGCCCUUAGUCCUUUACCAUAAACCCGGCCCAACUAGAAAAUUGGAAGGCCGCCCGUUUAUCCACCCCUUCCAGAAUUUUGAGAAAAAAUCCAAAUCCUUUGGGGUUCCGGGGGUGAAACUUAAAGGAAUUGACGGAAGGGCACCACCAGGAGUGGAGCCUGCGGCUUAAUUUGACUCAACGCGGGGAAACUUACCAGGUCCAGACAUGGGAAGGAUUGACAGAUUGAAGUUCUUUCUUGAUUCUAUGGGUAGUGGUGCAUGGCCGUUCUUAGUUGGUGGAGUGAUUUGUCUGGUUAAUUCCGUUAACGAACGAGACCUUAACCUGCUAAAUAGGAGCCUAACAAGUGUUUAGGACUUCUUCUUAGAGGGACAAUUGUGUGUCUAACAACAGGGAAGCCUGAGGCAAUAACAGGUCUGUGAUGACCCUUAGAUGUUCUGGGCUGCACGCGCGCUACACUGAUGCUACCAACGAGUUAUUUUCCUUGCCUUAAAAGGAUUUGGUAAUCUUGAAGUCAGCAUCGUGAUGGGGAUAGAUUAUUGGAACUAUUGGUCUUGAACGAGGAAUUCCUCGCAAGCGCAAGUCAUUAGCUUGUGCUGAAUAUGUCCCUGCCCUUUGUACACACCGCCCGUCGCUCCUACCGAUUGGGUGAUCCGGUGAAUUACUCGGACUUGU
rnacentral:rRNA from 1 species